UGGGGAAUAUUGCACAAUGGAGGGAACUCUGAUGCAGCGACGCCGCGUGAGUGAUGAAGGACUUCGUUUCGUAAAACUCUGUUCUAUGGGAAGAAAAGGACUGUACCAUAGGAGAAAGCUCCGGCUAAAUACGUGCCAGCAGCCGCGGUAAUACGUAUGGAGCGAGCGUUGUCCGGAAUUAUUGGGCGUAAAUGGUGCGCAGGCGGCUUUACAAGUUGGAUGUGAAAUAUUGUGGCUCAACCACAAACGUGCAUCCAAAACUGCAAAGCUUGAGUUAAGGAGAGGUAAGUGGAAUUCCUGGUCUAGCGGUUGAAUGCGUAGAUAUCAGGAGGAAUACCUGUGGCGAAGGCGACUUACUGGACUUAAACUGACGCUCAGGCACGAAAGCGUGGGGAGCAAACAGG
rnacentral:rRNA from 1 species